UUUGUUAAAAUACUAUAUUUGUUACUACAAUAAUGGAAUAGAGAGAGACUGCGCAGCACUUCUCUCUCUCUCUCUCUCUCUCUCUGUGUGUGUGUGAGAGAGAGAGAGAGAGAGAGAGAGAGAGAGAGAGGAUGUUUAUGCCGCUUUGAAUCUUUGCUAAUGUUAAUGCGCAUGUCUCAUGGUUUAUGAACGCGCCACUCAGAUGGAUGGAUGAACUUCUGUCACCAUUAAUAACGUUUUUGGGCAGCAGAACAAAUGGCCAUGAUGAGGAUGGUGGUGCUUUUGCUUUCUGUGAUGAUGGUCAAUGUGAUCCUGAUGGAUGCUAAGGUGGAAAGCACUGCAGAAUUUGAUCCAUAUAAAGUUCUUGGAGUCACCAGAAGCGCAAGCCAAGCAGAAAUCAAGAAAGUGUAUAAACGCCUGGCCAAAGAAUGGCAUCCUGAUAAAAACAAAAAUCCUGAAGCUGAAGACAUGUUCAUCAAGAUUACAAAGUCUUAUGAGAUCUUAACAAACGAGGAGAAGAGAGCCAGCUAUGAUCGUUAUGGACAAACAGAUAACACUCACCCCUAUGGACGCCACCAUGGUUUCCGCCACUUUCAUGACAACUUUUACUUUGACGAGUCUUUCUUUCACUUUCCCUUCAACAAUAAGGGUGGCCGGGAUUUUGCUGACAGCAAGUACACAUUGCACUUCAAUCAGUAUAUCAAUGAAGUUGUGCCUGACAGCUUCAAGAGGCCUUACUUGAUCAAGAUCACCUCAGACUGGUGCUUCAGCUGCAUCCAUAUCGAGCCAGUCUGGAAAGAAACAGUGCAGGAAUUGGAGACUCUAGGGAUUGGAAUUGGUGUGGUUGAUGUUGGUUACGAGCGGCGUUUAGCAAAUCAUUUGGGAGCACAUCAGACUCCUUCGUUUCUUGGUGUCGUCAAUGGAAAAGUGGCUUUCUUCCAUUACGCUGUUGUAAAAGGCCACCUGAUGCAGUUUUUAGAAGAUUUGCUGCCACAGAGACUAGUUGAAAAGGUUACAGACAAGAACAACCAAGAGUUUCUGAAGAGUUGGCAUGAGUUGAACAAGCCACAUGUUCUCCUGUUUGACCAAGUGCCUUUGGUCCCUUUGCUUUAUAAGCUUACAGCAUUUGCCUAUAAGGACUAUGUGCAGUUUGGAUAUGUGGAUCAAGGUCUUUCUGAGACCGCUGACCUGUUAAGAAAAUUCAACAUAAACACUUAUGCACCAACCAUGCUUGUCUUCAAAGAGGACAUUGAGAAGCCUGCAGAUAUUAUACAGGCUAAAGGGAUGAAGAAGCAGAUAAUAGAUGAAUUCAUCUCCAACAACAAGUUCCUUCUGGCCCCUCGUCUGGUGAACCAGAAGCUAUUUGAUGAGCUUUGCCCUGUCAAACAGUUCCAUCGUCGCAGGAAAUAUUGCGUUCUACUCAUCACUGGUGAGGAAGAGUCCUUCACCACAGGAAAUGAAGCCUUCCUCUCGCUAGCCUCCGCCAACACUAAUGAUGUGCUGCGAUUUGCUUACGUCUACCAGCGACAUCAGCAGCCCCUAUGUGAUGUUCUCUUGAAGAACAAAGACAGCACACCACCACAGGUGGUGAUUCUGGAGAGGCGUAACGGAGCUGGGAAGAUUCUAUAUAAGCCAGUUUCGGGAGGAUGGAACGGCAGUAAGGAAGACAAACACAAGCUUCUGGAGGAACUCGAAAGACUGCAGAAGGAUCCCUCCAUCCUCAACAAUGAUGCCUUUCUCCCAGAGCUCAAUAAUGAGUUCACCUCGAUGUUUUUAAUAAGAUGGAUUUACACUGCAUAUGACUACUUGUCUGAAAUUAUCGAUGAUCUUCUUCACAAUAACUGGCGUGAGAUGAUGCCCCUACUGUCUUUGAUAUUCUCUGCACUCUUUAUUUUAUUUGGCACUGUAGUUAUUCAGGCUUUCAGUGACUCAAGUGAGGAAAAACAGCCCAAAGCAAAAGCAAAAGAGGCAUCCAAGGCAGAGGAUGGUUCGCCGAACACCUCCAGCACAUCCAGCAGUCGCCCACCAAAGAAAAGCUUUGUGGAGGUGACAGAGUUAACCGACAUUACAUACACUAGUAACCUGGUGAAGCUGAGGCCGGGUCAUAUUAACGUAGUUCUGGUACUUACUGAUCCCACAAAGAACAUCCUGCUCAGCAAGUUUGCCAAGGAAGUUUAUUCGUUCACUGGGAGUUUCACCCUACACUUCUCCUUCCUAAAUGUGGAUAAACACAGUGAAUGGAUGGCGGCCGUGUUGGAAUACGCCCAGGACGCCAUGCAAAUCGACACAGAUGAGGACGAAGUGGGCAGCCGCAAAGUAGACUACACAGGCUAUGUUCUAGCCCUCAAUGGCCAUAAGAAAUACCUGUGUCUUUUCAAGCCAGUCUACACAGGUGAAGACUUGGAUAGUAAGCCGGAAGAGGAAGGAGGAGGAUCCCGGUCCAGGAAGGGCAUGACACGCUCUCGAUCCACAACUCUUCAGAUCCACCACAAACUGGAUCGACUCGGACUCUGGAUGGAGCGACUGAUGGAAGGGACGCUGCCACGGUACUAUGUCCCAGCCUGGCCUGGUCUGGACAAGAUCACUGUCAACAAAUAAAGCCUCAUGGAAGCUAAUAACCCAGCUGCAUUAGAAGCAUCCGAUGGCUUGAAGCUGCUCAGAACCAGACGCUCUAUUGCAAAUUUCUUAGCAUCUUCCAACUGGCGCAACUUUACAGCAAUACCCAUAGAACAUGUACUGUGCUUCAGUCCCAAGGUGUAAAUAGUUACAUAACAUUAAAUGUAUGUGUAAAAAUAUAAUAUGGAUUUGUGUCUCUAAAAUAUAAGAAAGAUUCCAGAUGUUCUUAGCAGAUUGACUUAGCAGGGUGAAACAGCUCUUUAUUGACCUGAACAAGUCACAUUCAGUUAUAUAGUGCAGCUAUAAAACGAGCAGGUAAAGCUUUAAAGAAUGACAAAGAGAUCCAGAAACCUUUAUAGUUUCAAGUUGUGUUUAGAUUAAAAAUGUGUUGUGGCAUGCAAAGCAUACUCUCAACAGUACAAAACUGAAGAAAUAAUACAUACUUGAUCUGAAGUAUUUUGUACUAUGCAUUUCAUGUUUGCUGUAGAUAAGGGUUUGUCUCCUUUAUGUUGUGAUGUUUCAUUUGUUAGCAGGAUUUAGUGGUUAAUGCAUUUGAUUACCUAUUGCAUAUGCACAGAAAGGUGUGGGUGAGUUAAAUCCACUCCUAUAUGAAGUCUUCCAUUACUGACAUAUUUUGAGCGAUGAAUUAUAUUACUUUAUUCAUAUGGUGUUCAAUGAACAUUCAUUAUACUUUAUAAUUGAUGAUGCAGUAUUGGUGCCAUUGUACUAUAUUAGCAUUUUAUUUGUGUUUUGCAAUGCACUGGUAAAUAUCUUAAAUUUAAGAUAGCAUUAAAUCAUGCCAAAUUUUCAUGGCUUAUUAACUCUGUAUGACUAAAUGUAUUUAUGUCUGUGGUGUAAAAUAUGAACUCUGCAUAAUGUUAUGUAAUUGUUUUAUUUAUUAAUCGGUUGAAAAAUUAUAUUAUCAAAUAAACAUCAAAAGUUUUAUUUUCA